GACGAACGCUGGCGGCGUGCCUAAUACAUGCAAGUAGGACGCUGAAGAGAGGAGCUUGCUCUUCUUGGAUGAGUUGCGAACGGGUGAGUAACGCGUAGGUAACCUGCCUUGUAGCGGGGGAUAACUAUUGGAAACGAUAGCUAAUACCGCAUAACAAUGGAUGACACAUGUCAUUUAUUUGAAAGGGGCAAUUGCUCCACUACAAGAUGGACCUGCGUUGUAUUAGCUAGUAGGUGAGGUAACGGCUCACCUAGGCGACGAUACAUAGCCGACCUGAGAGGGUGAUCGGCCACCCGGGGACGGUGACACGGCCCAGACUCCUACGGGAGGCAGCAGUAGGGAAUCUUCGGCAAUGGGGGCAACCCUGACCGAGCAACGCCGCGUGAGUGAAGAAGGUUUUCGGAUCGUAAAGCUCUGUUGUAAGUCAAGAACGAGUGUGAGAGUGGAAAGUUCACACUGUGACGGUAGCUUACCAGAAAGGGACGGCUAACUACGUG
rnacentral:rRNA from 1 species